GUCGCUACUACCGAUUGGAUGAUCCGGUGAGGUCUUGGGAACUGGCUCACACAGUCUGACUGUGCUGGGUUGAAAAACUUGAUCAAACCUUAUUAUCUAGAGGAAGGUG
rnacentral:rRNA from 1 species